CACGACUACAUUAGAUACCCGGGUAGUCCUAGCCGUAAACGAUACUCGCUAGGUGUCGGCCACGGUGCGACCGUUGUCGGUGCCGUAGGGAAGCCGUGAAGCGAGCCACCUGGGAAGUACGGCCGCAAGGCUGAAACUUAAAGGAAUUGGCGGGGGAGCACCACAACGGGUGGAGCUUGCGGUUUAAUUGGACUCAACGCCGGGAAGCUCACCGGAUAAGACAGCGGAAUGAUUGCCGGGCUGAAGACCCUGCAUGACCAGCUG
rnacentral:rRNA from 1 species